rnacentral:rRNA from 1 species
CCUACGGGAGGCAGCAGUGGGGAAUAUUGGGCAAUGGAGGAAACUCUGACCCAGCGACGCCGCGUGCGGGAUGAAGGCCUUCGGGUUGUAAACCGCUUUCAGUAGGGAAGAAGCGAAAGUGACGGUACCUACAGAAGAAGCACCGGCUAACUAUGUGCCAGCAGCCGCGGUAAUACAUAGGGUGCAAGCGUUGUCCGGAAUUAUUGGGCGUAAAGAGCUCGUAGGUGGUUCGUCACGUCGGAUGUGAAAAUCUGGGGCUCAACCCCAGACCUGCAUUCGAUACGGGCGAUCUAGAGUGUGGUAGGGGAGACUGGAAUUCCUGGUGUAGCGGUGGAAUGCGCAGAUAUCAGGAGGAACACCAAUGGCGAAGGCAGGUCUCUGGGCCAUUACUGACACUGAGGAGCGAAAGCGUGGGGAGCGAACAGGAUUAGAUACCCUGGUAGUCCACGCCGUAAACGGUGGGCACUAGUUGUGGGAACCUUCCACGGUUUCUGCGACGCAGCUAACGCAUUAAGUGCCCCGCCUGGGGAGUACGAUCGCAAGAUUAAAACUCAAAUGAAUUGACGGCUGAGACGNGCGACGACGACGACGAGGGAGAG